GACGAACGCUGGCGGCGUGCUUAACACAUGCAAGUCGAACGGAAAGGCCCUGCUUUUGUGGGGUGCUCGAGUGGCGAACGGGUGAGUAACACGUGAGUAACCUGCCCUUGACUUUGGGAUAACUUCAGGAAACUGGGGCUAAUACCGGAUAGGAGCUCCUGCUGCAUGGUGGGGGUUGGAAAGUUUCGGCGGUUGGGGAUGGACUCGCGGCUUAUCAGCUUGUUGGUGGGGUAGUGGCUUACCAAGGCUUUGACGGGUAGCCGGCCUGAGAGGGUGACCGGCCACAUUGGGACUGAGAUGCGGCCCAGACUCCUACGGGAGGCAGCAGUGGGGAAUAUUGCACAAUGGGCGGAAGCCUGAUGCAGCAACGCCGCGUGCGGGAUGACGGCCUUCGGGUUGUAAACCGCUUUCGCCUGUGACGAAGCGUGAGUGACGGUAAUGGGUAAAGAAGCACCGGCUAACUACGUGCCAGCAGCCGCGGUGAUACGUAGGGUGCGAGCGUUGUCCGGAUUUAUUGGGCGUAAAGGGCUCGUAGGUGGUUGAUCGCGUCGGAAGUGUAAUCUUGGGGCUUAACCCUGAGCGUGCUUUCGAUACGGGUUGACUUGAGGAAGGUAGGGGAGAAUGGAAUUCCUGGUGGAGCGGUGGAAUGCGCAGAUAUCAGGAGGAACACCAGUGGCGAAGGCGGUUCUCUGGGCCUUUCCUGACGCUGAGGAGCGAAAGCGUGGGGAGCGAACAGGCUUAGAUACCCUGGUAGUCCACGCUGUAAACGGUGGGUACUAGGUGUGGGGUCCAUUCCACGGGUUCCGUGCCGUAGCUAACGCUUUAAGUACCCCGCCUGGGGAGUACGGCCGCAAGACUAAAACUCAAAGGAAUUGACGGGGCCCCGCACAAGCGGCGGAGCAUGCGGAUUAAUUCGAUGCAACGCGUAGAACCUUACCUGGGUUUGACAUGGAUCGGGAGUGCUCAGAGAUGGGUGUGCCUCUUUUGGGGUCGGUUCACAGGUGGUGCAUGCCUGUCGUCAGCUCGUGUCGUGAGAUGUUGGGUUAAGUCCCGCAACGAGCGCAACCCUUGUUCACUGUUGCCAGCACGUUAUGGUGGGGACUCAGUGGAGACCGCCGGGGUCAACUCGGAGGAAGGUGGGGAUGACGUCAAGUCCUCAUGCCCCUUAUGUCCAGGGCUUCACGCAUGCUACAAUGGCUGGUACAGAGAGUGGCGAGCCUGUGAGGGUGAGCGAAUCUCGGAAAGCCGGUCUCAGUUCGGAUUGGGGUCUGCAACUCGACCUCAUGAAGUCGGAGUCGCUAGUAAUCGCAGAUCAGCAACGCUGCGGUGAAUACGUUCCCGGG
rnacentral:rRNA from 1 species